rnacentral:rRNA from 1 species
GAGACCGGCGCACGGGUGCGUAACGCGUAUACAAUCUACCUUUUACUAGAGGGAUAGCCCAGAGAAAUUUGGAUUAAUACCUCAUAGUAUUUUUGAAUCGCAUGAUUUGAUUAUUAAAGUUCCAACGGUAAAAGAUGAGUAUGCGUCCCAUUAGCUAGAAGGUAAGGUAACGGCUUACCAUGGCUACGAUGGGUAGGGGUCCUGAGAGGGAGAUCCCCCCACACUGGUACUGAGACACGGACCAGACUCCUACGGGAGGCAGCAGUGAGGAAUAUUGGACAAUGGGCGCAAGCCUGAUCCAGCCAUGCCGCGUGCAGGAAGAAGGUCCUAUGGAUUGUAAACUGCUUUUAUACAGGAAGAAACACUCCCUCGUGAGGGAACUUGACGGUACUGUAUGAAUAAGGACCGGCUAACUCCGUG